AGUGAACGCUGGCGGUAGGCCUAACACAUGCAAGUCGAACGGCAGCACAGUAAGAGCUUGCUCUUACGGGUGGCGAGUGGCGGACGGGUGAGGAAUACAUCGGAAUCUACUUUUUCGUGGGGGAUAACGUAGGGAAACUUACGCUAAUACCGCAUACGACCUACGGGUGAAAGCAGGGGAUCUUCGGACCUUGCGCGAUUGAAUGAGCCGAUGUCGGAUUAGCUAGUUGGCGGGGUAAAGGCCCACCAAGGCGACGAUCCGUAGCUGGUCUGAGAGGAUGAUCACCAACACGGAAACUGAGACACGGCCCAGCCUCCUACGGGAGGCAGCAGUGGGGAAUAUUGGACAAGGGGCGCAAGCUUGAUCCACCAAUCCCGCGGGGGUGAAGAAGGCUUUCGGUUUGUAAAGCCUUUUUGUUGGGAAAGAAAAGCAGCAGUUUAAUACCCCGCUGUUAUGACGGUACCCAAAAAAUAAGCACCGGCUAACUUCGUG
rnacentral:rRNA from 1 species